UAAGCAGAACGUUUGAGCUUCCGCAAGAACCAAUGAGGUUCAUUCUCAUGUUAAGCAGAACUUUUGAGCUUCCGCAAGAACCAAUGAGGAUCAUUCUCGUGGGUUAUGCAGCACGUUUCAGCUUCCACAAGAGCUUUGUUCUUGCUCGUCAAGCAGAUUCGGUUGAGCUUCUGUUUAUGUUAGCUGAUCAGUGUUUAUAUGUGAGUAAAAGCAUGAAUUUAAAUCUGUUCAUCAUAUAAGCUGAUUGAGUCUUAAAGUGAUUGGACUAAACCACUCAAUUCAUAUAGAUUAGUUUUAUGAUCUCUUUAUGAACAGAAAGCUCUGAUUUCAUCAAAAAGAUCUUCAUUUGUUUUUUCCAAAGAUGAAAAGUCUUGCAGGACUACUUAAUUUUUGGGUGAACUAUUCCUUUAACACUCUUGGUUAGGUUUAGAGUAGGUGGUACAUUAUUUUUAAAUGCGAUAGAGCAUUAACCUUUUAGCGGCACUCAUCACACAUUUCAUUUCCGAACUGCUGUGAUAUGUAUGAUUACCAAUGUAAUAAAACUUUGCCAGAUUAACGUUGAUAUGUUUUGGAUGAAUUAACAUGCUUUUAGCGCUACUCACUGGUCAUUUCACUUUGAAAGUGUAGCAAAAUGUGCAAGAAGCAACGUAAUGUCGCCACAGACACGUUUCUUCCAAUGAGCCUGGGUUGGAAUUUUGAGACUUUAGAAUCAAAUCCAUAUAUUUUAAAAUUAUAUUUAAUAGUUAAAAGGAUAGUUUACCCAAAAAUUAAAUUUGUGUUAUUUAUACACUCAAUUUUUCAAUCAAUGUUUUAAUUUUUCUGGAGCCGUGUUAUAACUUUGUGUGACGAACAGACUGAAAGUCUGAAUUUUUUUUAAUAAAACCUGGCUGACAAUCAUGGUCACCAUUUAAUUGCAUUUUUUGGAAAUGUGAAGCUUGGACGUUCUUAUAAAGAUCUUGUUUUGUGUUUCAUAGAUGAACAAAAAUCAUGCAGGUUUCAAAAAACGGGGUGAGUAAAUAAGAGUUGUCACUUUUUUGGUGAAUUAUCCCUUUAAGCUGACCAUGUGAGAAUGAAACAUUUGAGUUAUGCGUAAUAUUCAACGUGUUUAUCGUGUCCGUGGUUGUUCUGUGCAUCAUAGAUGACAUGUCUGAAUUGUGCUUUCAAGGCCUUACCUUGUCCUCUGGCCUCCACCCCAAAUGCCUGCUGAUUCAUGUCUGCGUGUCUGCACCGGCUUGCUGGAUGGGGGAUGGUGGAAUGAACGAGGGACACAGAGUACUGAGAAAGAAUGGUUCGUAGUGGAUGCUGAUGAAUGAAUAUUGGCUGACCGACCGCAGUUCUUCUCUGGCAAACUUUAUGACCCUAUCCUGACGCUAAAGCUGCCAGCUGAAGAACUGUUGUGGUCAGCUCUACCCAUCUGAGAGUGCUGUGGAUCUUAUUCACUCUGGAUCAUCUGUUGUAGAUCUUGGAGGAUGGAUGAUAUUUUAAAUUUCAUAUUUUAAUUAUUGAAGCAAAUUUUUUUUUUGAGAAAAUAUUUCUUUGUCAUUUAUAAAUAUUUUAUAAAUUUUAACAAUUUAUCAACACUUUAAUAUGUUUAGGAUGUUUAUUUUUUAUAUGUUUUGUAUCUAAAAUUUCAAUUUAUGUUCAUGAAAAUAUGAAUAGAAAUCCAUAAUUUUUUUUUUUUUUUUUUUUGGAGGAGAGCUAAUAUCAAACUACCUGAUAAAUGAGUUGUAUAAUAUAUUUGAAGUAUGCAGGAUAUUUUGCAUGGCAGACAUAAUUUUCUGUACGUUUAGCCACAACAGCUGCUGGCUCCUGGUAUAAAAAUAAAGGGGAAACUUGCAUGUGUCCAAUAAAAGUAUACUGCAAAUCUCUA